UACGAACGUAUUAAAAAAAAAUCAAUUGAAUAUUUUUUCACUCUUUUUAUUUUUUUUAUUUGACCGAUAAGAAUAAGAUUACGAAAUUAUCUUUUAAUUCUAUUUUAGCGUCUGUUCUUUUUCACUCGAGUGGGUAAUUACGGUGCUUAGGAUAUGUAUUCAAGGCGUUGCGGACAAAGGAGUCAUCUUCUUUCACCAUAAACGUCGAUACGCCUGUCCCUCCUCCUCGUUCGCUCGCCGACUGGAGCGAGAUGGAGGGGAAGGGAUCGGAUUCGCUGUCGCCUAGCGAUUGGGCCUCGAAGGCGCUGCCGUCGUCGUCUCCUCCCGCAAGCAGAGGAACGUCGAUGAGGCGGUGGAGAAGCUGAUGUCGAAGGGAAUCGAGGUGAUGGGGGUGGUCUGCCACGUUUCGAAUCCCCAUCACCGGCACGAUCUCAUCGAGAAGACCGUCCAGGUGAGCGCUUCUCCUCCUAAGAAACGAAGUACAAGGAAGAGAAAGCUUGAAGAUGCAAUAAAGUUUUGUAGAUUGGACAAAAGUAGAGAAGAGAGAAAGAGACAGAGAAUAAUUUCGGGAAAAGGCGCCAAAAAUUCUUUGAUGUUGAUGAACAACACCGUCAUGCAAAAUUCAGAGCUGUCACUGCCAGACACUUUGGCGCCUUAGGCUUUUACCUUGCUUAAGACACUCAUGAGCAAAUAAGACAGGCCUUAGAACAGCAGCAUGAUCCUUUUUCUAAUCUGAUCAGCUGACCACCAACAACUAUGGAACUUUCCAGAUUCUUGGACUGAACCAACUUAGACAGGAUGUUGUUAGCCAUCAACAGAGAAUUGAUGAAUUUGAUGGGAUUUGUGGUUUUAAUUGCUGAUCCAUGCACACUUUUAUUUGCAAUGGAGAACCCCUCUGAAUUGCUUUUGUUGCCUCUCUCAUUAGCUCGGUGUCAUUUGUCUAGAAUAUGCUUUGGAGUGUAGCAUCCUGAUGCACCCAGGAGGCGAGAGGAAUCCAGCAGAUGGAGGCCAAGAUCAAAUCAAAUUGGACAAAAGAAGAGGGUGGUGUUUGUCAAGUCAAUGCCUGGUUUUGUAUCAUUAGAAAUAUGGUCACAUAGGCAUAGUUGUGUCGAAUGCUGCUGCUAAUCCAUCAGUGGAUAACAUUCUGGAUACCAGAGCGUCAGUGCUUGAUAAACUUUGGGAGAUCAGUGUGAAUUUCUCAGUUCUUAUUCUGCAGAUAAUUUAUAUGCUAAUGGGGUUUCACUUAGCCUUAUUUGAGAAUAUUAACUUCAUGUCUUUUGCAAGCUGCUGCAUCUUACUUGAAGAUGGGAUCAUCCGGCAUCCUUAUAUCUUCAAUUGCAGGUUAUCUUCCGCAGUCAUCCAUGGCCAUGUAUGGUGUCACAAAGACUGCUCUUCUCGAGCUUACUAAGGCUCUUGCUGCUGAGAUGAGUGAACUGUAUAGCUCCUGGAUUUGUGCCCACACAUUUUGCUGAUUUUAUCACGAAAAUGAUGCCAUCAGAAAAACCAGAGAGGAGAAGACUUUGCUUAAGAGGCCCGGGUCUACAGAAGACAUGGCUUCUGCCGCAGCCUUUCUGGCAUCUGAUGAUUCAUCCAACAUUCCUGGAGAAACACUUGUGGUUGCCGGAGGGAUGCCUUCCAGGCUAUAAUCCAUUCCCAGACUUCACCCUGUGAUGAUCAUUUGUUGCUGCUGCCAACACAUGCCGAGUCUCAAGAACAUCAUUUUGUAGGCAGAGCAGAGUUAGACAAGCUGUAAUAAAUCAUUCAACCAUCUGAAGUUGGAGAUAUUGAAUUUAUUUUGUGCCUGCUUAGUGAAAUUGAGUUGUGUUUACCAUCAAAUGCUGUGGUCAAACAUAACUGUAACCUUUUUUUGGGAAAAAAACGUCGAAGCCAAUAGCUUCUUAUGAGAAUUCACCUUAUUUUAAUCAUUGA